AAACAGCCCUGAUGGGAGUGAAAAUCCCACGCUUUGCGUGGAUUGUAACGGACAGCAGGAAUUGCC
rnacentral:sRNA from 1 species